GCGGAAAUAUGAACACAGCUCCUGGUUGAUGUUGAUGCUGUCGGGAAUGGAAACGAGCUACAGUGCUGAAAGGACAAUUGCUUUCUACACAGCCACUUUUUAAGAGUCAAAAUAUUUAACCUCAAAAUAAUCCAUCUCCUCAUGAUGCCUACAACAAUAUUCAGUGUAAGAAGUGUCCCAGAUGACUACACCUUCUGGAUGAGCGAAAUGAGUGAGAGACAAGUGGACAGAACUGGGAACGGCCUGCGCCUAAUGCUCAAGAAGCCCGAGAUGCUUCUCUGUGCCUGUAAUGCUCAUGAAGCCGGCACUGCCCCUGAGGUGUUAUCGGAAAGUAAACUUAGACUGGUUGUAAGUGAGUAUUGUGAACUCUAGAGCAACCAUUAAUUUUUAA
rnacentral:lncRNA from 1 species